AUUAGGGUUUUCAGAUAAGUUUGC
rnacentral:siRNA from 1 species